rnacentral:misc_RNA from 1 species
GGGAAUUCAAGUGGGUUUGUCUCAAUCGCCUACUCAAUUUGGGGUUGCUGAGAUGGGGAGUGGGGAACAGACUGAUAGUGUUGAGACUGUUUCUAGUGUGGCUACUGAUGAUGGGAUUGUAAUUGUCAAUAGCAAUAGUGAUGAAAAUGGAUUUGUGGGAAUAGAUGGACCUAUAAAUGAAGAUGCCGGCACUGUAGUUUAGGAUAUUGGAGUUUCUCCUUCGAGUUUUGUUUCUGCAAAUUUGAG